UUGAUCACAGUUGAAAGAUUGAUACUAUAGAUAAAGGCCUGCUGGCGAAGCCAUUCAUAAUAUGCAGCAGAAGAAUAGUAAAAGUUUCACCACUCAUCAAAAGUCAGGGAAACAGUUCUCCAGGCACCAUGGGGAGGCUCAUGAAGGAACGGUGUUCAAUCCAUACAAAGCGUUCCAACAUUGGACACACUUACCUGACUUUAGAGAGGGCUUGGUACAUACGCGGUGACUCCACCUCUUACACACUUCACACUCAACCCAAACUAUCUUUCGAGACUUUCCAGGAGUAUUGUAAUCACCACAUAUGCAACAAAUGACUUCAUCGUCAGACUCCUCAACGAAGCCCAUGGAUUCGUCAGAGUCAGAGUCAUUUUGUCAUCACCAGAAUCUGUGUCCAUGUCACUGUCACUGUCAUCCGAGUCCGUCAAGUCUAUGACUACAGGAGCAACCUCCUCAUCCUGGACUCCGUCGAGUUUCCACAGUUUUUCUUCGACCUCUCUUAUCACGUGACUCUCCACCUUACGCCACUUCUCAACCCCAUAAGUUGAUCUAGCCUGAAUAAAGAGUUCCUUCACUUUCUCUUUCUUAAAUGUGGCAUUGCUCCUGGCGACGAAACUUUUUAAUUCAGCCCAGACCAACUCAAUAGGAUUAAGCUCACAAUGAUAGGGCGAGGCUUAUGCUGCUUCACUAAUGUGACCAAUUCAGCCUUGAUCAUUCGCGGAUUGUAAUGGAUACCCUUUCUAUCAAGCCAAGACUGGAUCUCAGCCUUCGGUGCCGAGGAAGUUGGACACCUAGACUCAGGAUCCAGAUGACUGUGAUAGGAAGCAUUAUCCAUCACGAUGACUGAAUUGGCUGGUAGGUUAGGGAGCAACUGCUCAGUGAACCACUUCGUGAAGUUUUCCGAGUUUAUCUCAUCGUGAUAAUCCUGGUUGCCUGUUUUCGACUCGAAAAUGAGAGCAGAUCCCGGGAUCAUGCCCACAGCCGAAGAACCUGCAUCCACAAUUAUCAGACGAGAACCUUUCCCAGAUGGGACCAAAACGCCCAUGACCUCCACGAUGUGACUCAAAGGCAGAGGUAGAUGUCCUUGGACAGUCCACCCAAUCACCCCUCGCUACAUGAUUGGUGUUCAACCAAGUCUCAUCCAAAUACACAAUAGGACGACCCUCCUCUCUAAACUUCCUAAUGGACCUCAGAGAGCAUGUGAAUCUUCAUCUUUGCAUGAUAGCAAAGUGCUUACUUGAACCCAAGAUCCUUCACGAGUCUCCCCAGUGGUGUCUUAGUGAUCCUGACUCCCCUUUCUACUAGAACAUCUGACAGUCGACGAAGGGAAACGUACUGGUCCUGCAACUGCAUAUCAUGAAUGGUCCUCUUCUUCAAGUCUUCAUCGAAGUCAUCAAGCUUUCUACUGGGACCACGUUUCUUCUUUGGAGCUAGAACUUGCAUGUCUUCCACCACCAUUUCAACUGGAUCAGGGUCCACUUUCCUCUUCAAUGUUUUCUCAGAUAUUCCUAAAUAUGUAAAAAUAGAUUUCAGUAAUCAUGGUAGAUAUAUAUUUAUUAGUACCGUGUACCAAUAUACAGUUGAUCUAUAUAGAUGCAAAAUAAUUUGCAAAAUUAUAAGUACUUUACUUUAAUGUUAGAUAUUUUUAUUACAAAAAUAAAUUUGUCUAUUCGAAACAAAAUCAUUGUUACCUGUAGCAACUGAUAAUCUCUUGAGAGGAUUUUGCAGGUAUUUUACCCUUCCCUCCUGACUUUCUAUGGAGAACUGUUUAUAAAUCUUUGUUAAAAGGUCUACAACCUGGAGAAGACAUUUGUUAUUAAUUUUAUGCAACUGUUUAAUCUCAUAUAUAGCUGAAACAUUUGCAAGACAAGUACAUCUGAUCAAGUAUAACUCAUUAAACUGAAAAUUCCGUUGACUUAUGGAAUAAAUGAAUGUCAAUCAAUACAAAAAUCUAAUUUAAAAUCAAUAUUUUAAGGUCACUGUAAAUGUAGGGCUUAUUCCAUAUGCAUUUCAUCAAUGGUUAUUUUAAUAAUUAAUCAUACAAUUGCUGAAAAUCAAAAUAUAUGUAACUAUAAGUAAUAAUAAUAUUGAGGAAUCAUUCUUUUGAUAAUAUAGGGUGAUCAUAAUACAGUCAGGCAUGAACAAAUCUAUCAUCUAAGCCCUUAAGGUAUUUCAUUUUUUAGGACUAUCUUUUUCAUUUUACUUAAGUGUAUAUGAUAUAUUUAUAGUUAUCACAUGUUUAGCUCAAUAUACGGUGGAUAUCACUCAUGUAUUUUUUUUUUUAUUCCACUGUGUGUUCUUACACCAUGUGACGUCAUAAAUAAACAUUACGUAGCUUCAGGCGGAUGAUUGACAUAGAAUAAAAUUUUUACAAAAACAUUUAUUUGAAGAGUGUAGAGUUAUGGAUGUGGCGCAAUUAAUGUUGUUUCAUUUUUUCAUAAAUUGAUACAAAUAUGUUAGAAAAUGAUUUGCUUGUUUAUUAUUCAACAAUGAUUUUUUUUUCAUGCAUAAAUUUGCGUCUUAUAAUAAAUGUGUUGUGCGGCUCACAAUGAAAAUGUUAACAGAAAAUAUUAGGGUUUAACAAAAGAUGUGUUAAAACAUGAUAAAAAGAAUCUGUCAUAUGAUUUGUGAUGGUAUAUGAUUUUUCUCCAACUCGUUGUAAGGCGAGGGGAUAGAAAACACAACUCUUUGGAUAUAAUCAUAUACCAUUGCAAAUUAUGAGAGAUCCUAUAUAUGACAAAUUAUUGAAUUGUCAUUUCAUUCUUCAGGUGACCAUUAAUGCAAUUGAGCCUUUUGAAUUUACAUUCUAUUAAUAUUAAAUACAGAGGUAAACAACAUAUAGGAGUGUUUGUCCAUUCACAACUUUACAUUGAUGAAAAAAUAUGUUUGUAAUCAAGUGGAGUUGUGAAUAGCUCAUAUUGUUUUAUCAUCAGACAUCAAAACAAAUAUUAAUUUUGUCCAUUCACAACUUUACAUACAUUUAAAAUCUUAUUGUUUAAUAAAUUAUUAAGUUGUGAAUAGCUCAUAUUGUUUAUUAUCAAACAUCUAAGUACAUGUUAAAUAAAUAUACUUUGUCCAUUC